GAUGAACGCUGGCGGCGUGCUUAACACAUGCAAGUCGAACGGUGAAGCAGAGCUUGCUCUGUGGAUCAGUGGCGAACGGGUGAGUAACACGUGAGCAACCUUCCCCUGACUCUGGGAUAAGCGCUGGAAACGGCGUCUGAUACUGGAUACGAACCGCGACCGCAUGGUCCGUGGUUGGAAAGAUUUCUUGGUUGGGGAUGGGCUCGCGGCCUAUCAGCGUGUUGGUGAGGUAAUGGCUCACCAAGGCGUCGACGUGUAGCCGGCCUGAGAGGGUGACCGGCCACACUGGGACUGAGACACGGCCCAGACUCCUACGGGAGGCAGCAGUGGAGAAUAUUGCACAAUGGGCGCAAGCCUGAUGCAGCAACGCCGCGUGAGGGAUGAUGGCCUUCGGGUUGUAAACCUCUUUUAGCAGGGAAGAAGCGAAAGUGACGGUACCUGCAGAAAAAGCGCCGGCUAACUACGUGCCAGCAGCCGCCGCCG
rnacentral:rRNA from 1 species